AGAACGAACGCUGGCGGCAGGCUUAACACAUGCAAGUCGACGCCCCGCAAGGGGAGUGGCAGACGGGUGAGUAACGCGUGGGAACAUACCCUUUCCUGCGGAAUAGCUCCGGGAAACUGGAAUUAAUACCGCAUACGCCCUACGGGGGAAAGAUUUAUCGGGGAAGGAUUGGCCCGCGUUGGAUUAGCUAGUUGGUGGGGUAAAGGCCUACCAAGGCGACGAUCCAUAGCUGGUCUGAGAGGAUGAUCAGCCACAUUGGGACUGAGACACGGCCCAAACUCCUACGGGAGGCAGCAGUGGGGAAUAUUGGACAAUGGGCGCAAGCCUGAUCCAGCCAUGCCGCGUGAGUGAUGAAGGCCUUAGGGUUGUAAAGCUCUUUCACCGAUGAAGAUAAUGACGGUAGUCGGAGAAGAAGCCCCGGCUAACUUCGUGCCAGCAGCCGCGGUAAUACGAAGGGGGCUAGCGUUGUUCGGAAUUACUGGGCGUAAAGCGCACGUAGGCGGAUAUUUAAGUCAGGGGUGAAAUCCCGCAGCUCAACUGCGGAACUGCCUUUGAUACUGGGUAUCUUGAGUAUGGAAGAGGUAAGUGGAAUUCCGAGUGUAGAGGUGAAAUUCGUAGAUAUUCGGAGGAACACCAGUGGCGAAGGCGGCUUACUGGUCCAUUACUGACGCUGAGGUGCGAAAGCGUGGGGAGCAAACAGG
rnacentral:rRNA from 1 species